CCAGGAUUCAGUUCAGGCCAAGUGUUUUGUUUUGUUUGUUUAUCUAAGAUACGUUUUUGGAUGCUUAGCAGGAGAAAAAAAAAAACACCAACAGAACUGAUGGAUGUUAAUUCUGUUUGUUUCAGAUCUUCCUCUGGCAGCUGGAUGAGAAGGGAAUGCCACCGCGAAGGAAGGAUUACCGAGGGGAGGUUCGAGUUGUAUUGGAAGGGAACACAAGCGCCGUGCGUUACGCGUGUCACCACCACAGCAGGUGGUUCUUCCCAAACAAAGAUAAGCAGCCAGAAUACGUUCCUUGAAGAGUUGGGCCUAGCAAUAUGGCAGCGCACAGUCGAUAAGGAAUCUUGCAAAAUGCUGCUAUUGAGGUAAUUUGGUUUCUCAUAUAUUCUCCAAUCAGUACCUUCCUUUUCCUUAUAAUUUCUUAAAAUCAUUUGAAGUACAGAAAUCUAUUGAUACAGGUCUUUAAACUCAAGAUAGAGUGUGUGUGUAUAUAAAUAUAUAUAUAUAUGUAUAUAUGUUUAUGGGCCUAAAUAGAUUGGGCUUAAAAUUGGGAGAAAGGGGUGGGGGAAAAGAAUGGGAAUUAUUUAGCAGUCGUGUUUCUUAUUUGUCUUAUUUUCGUGGUAGAAGUACGAAAUGGCUGCAAACAGUUUUUUACUCAGGCACACAAUGCAUUCCAUAAUGAUCGAUUUUCCUGGACAGGGCAUUUAUGCUUUGUGGUUUGCAAGAAUACCACCCACAGACCAAAACCAAUGUUAGGUCUUCAGAGACUUUAUUUCUCCAUGUUUCCUUCUAUAUUCCUUUGGCUAUAAAUCUAUAAAAUGCCAGUCUUUUGCUGGGUUAAUGCUAACGAAAGUGUAUUAUUUUUUUUGGCCGUCCCAGGUUCUAGUACCAAAGCCUUGUUGAUCCUGUGAUCAUUGGCAUAUUCUAAAUUUCAGAGUGAAGCAAAGUAUCCUUAGGAUAAGGAAAUCACAAUCCUUAAUGUACAGGUUAAUACUUUUUAUUUAUAAUCUUAGCAUUCUAGACAAAUACAGUGUGAAGAUGAUUGAUUUGUUUGUCUAUCAUGGAUUUUCUGCCACUGGGUAUAUAUUCAUCAGGUUUUCAAAAGGUACAAUAGCUGUAUGAUUAAUCAAUGGAGGGAAAUGUUUCAAAAGCCAGAUCUUGUAAAAUCUAUGGCUCCCAUUCACUCUCCCUGAAUAUAGUUCAUGUAAGUGAAAUUCAUCUUUAAAAAAGCAGUGCUCAUUCAAAAAAAAAACAAAACAAAACAAAACUGUGUUCAUUUGCUGCUGCCUUUAUCAGUUUCAGUGUCUCAAAGAUUGUCCGUUUUUCAGUUUGUUUUCCAAAAAUGUAUGAAAAGGAGCAGCUUGGGUCC
rnacentral:lncRNA from 1 species